rnacentral:rRNA from 1 species
UCCUACGGGAGGCAGCAGUGGGGAAUAUUGCACAAUGGAGGGAACUCUGAUGCAGCGACGCCGCGUGAGCGAUGAAGGCCUUCGGGUCGUAAAGCUCUGUCCUAUGGGACGAUAAUGACGGUACCAUAGAGAU